rnacentral:rRNA from 1 species
GAUGAACGCUGGCGGCGUGCCUAAUACAUGCAAGUCGAGCGAACAGAUGAGGAGCUUGCUCCUCUGACGUUAGCGGCGGACGGGUGAGUAACACGUGGAUAACCUACCUAUAAGACUGGGAUAACUUCGGGAAACCGGAGCUAAUACCGGAUAAUAUAUUGAACCGCAUGGUUCAAUAGUGAAAGACGGUUUUGCUGUCACUUAUAGAUGGAUCCGCGCCGCAUUAGCUAGUUGGUAAGGUAACGGCUUACCAAGGCAACGAUGCGUAGCCGACCUGAGAGGGUGAUUGGCCACACUGGAACUUAGACACGGUCCAGACUCCUACGGGAGGCAGCAGUAGGGAAUCUUCCGCAAUGGGCGAAAGCCUGACGGAGCAACGCCGCGUGAGUGAUGAAGGUCUUCGGAUCGUAAAACUCUGUUAUUAGGGAAGAACAAAUGUGUAAGUAACUAUGCACGUCUUGACGGUACCUAAUCAGAAAGCCACGGCUAACUACGUG